GGCGGAGGAUGCAAGCGUUAUCCGGAAUGAUUGGGCGUAAAGCGUCCGCAGGUGGCAGUUCAAGUCUGCUGUCAAAGACCGGGGCUCAACCUCGGAAAGGCAGUGGAAACUGAACAGCUAGAGUAUGGUAGGGGCAAAGGGAAUUCCUGGUGUAGCGGUGAAAUGCGUAGAGAUCAGGAGGAACACCGAUGGCGAAGGCAGGUCUCUGGGCCGAUACUGACGCUGAGGAGCGAAAGCGUGGGGAGCGAACAGG
rnacentral:rRNA from 1 species